GUGGCAAUGGGGGUACCAUUGGGAGACCUGAAAUAUCAGGACUACCAAUUCUGGAUGGCGGAAGUCCACUGGAUGACAAGAAACAGUUGGCAUUUCGUACAUCUCUUUGCUGUCAUCUCGCAACCACCUGGAGAUUUACUGCUCAGAUGUGAAUAUUUAUCACUUCCUGGUCCAGUUAAGAUUGGCUGCUACCCAAGGGCCUCUACAGGACAAACAGAUCUUCCAUAGAUGUCUCAUGGAUUCUGAUGGUUUCUGGCAAGUUGAUCCAGGACUCUUUGAAGACUACCAAGAUCCUCUUGGAGAAGGAGCAGCAGCAGAAGAACUUGGAAUGCCAGCAGAGAAAGACAAAAUGUUACUCUGACCAAACACAGGUUUAAGCUCAAGUAUGCGUCUACAUUAUGAUGAUAAGGGACAUCCAGCUUCAUGGCUUUUCCUCUUCAAUGCAUUGGUGGGCUUGUUUAAGGUGGCCAGCUCCCUUUAUGGAAGGGACACCUCACAGAUCUCCCAACUAGCCACUGUAAACACUUGGCAGAGUAGUUUGCCAAUAAAGUCACUUAGAUUCACCCAAGACAAUUUUUUGUGGAUUGAAUCCAUUGUAGUGAUGAGGACAAGGUCUAUGUUAUCUGAGAUCACUUCUUGCUGUGAACUCUGAUGAAUGGGUAUGGUGUUCCUUUGGUUGUCUUCAACCCCUUGAUCCCUGCCCCUCAUGGCUCCUUAGCGGGUGUGGAGGAGUUGUGACAGACUGGAUCCGAGAUGUAGUCGAUACCUCACUGUGAGAGCGGAUGAUACCAGCAGUCCUAAAAAUCAUUGAGAUAUUCCUCCAUCCAUAGAAAACUCUCAUUGGAUCUUUCUGUAUUUGAUAACAAUUGUCCAGCCUCUAACUUUCCUUCCCUGGGAAAAGUUACUGGGACUGUAGCCAUUGUUCAGUUAAGGAGAACCCUUACAGGAAGCUGAUUAACAUAACCCUUUUCAGUUAGGAUUCUGGCCUGGCCAUGGGACCAAAACAACAUUGGUCACCUUUUUCAUAACCUGAAUGGGGAAAUGGAACUUCCUGGUUCUUUUGGACCCUUCAGCAGCCAUUGACCAUGGUAUCCUUCUGGACCACCUGCAAGGGCUGGGGAUUGGAGGCUCUGUUUUACAGUGGUUUCAUACCUUCCUCAGUGGGUGGUUCUAGUUGGUCCUUGUGGGAGGAGAGAAAUCAACCAGGUUGCCUCUUCUUUGUGGAGUGCCGCAGGCUGUUGUCCUCUCUCCUCUACUUUUAAGUAUAUACCUGAAUCCACUGGGGUGUAGUUUCAUCAAUAUGCUGAUGAUUCCCAGCUGUACUCCUCUACCCCAGCUGCCCAGGCUGUCUGUGCCUUGAUCUGGUGCCUGGAGCUUUGAAGUUCUGGAUUGGGCAAAACAGCCUGAAGUUGGACCUGUCCCAUUUCAGACAGAGCACAGAUGGGCUUGAUUUACAAGGGGUCAACUAGUGAGUAGAAAGCAAUGCAAAGGCAGCAGCACAGGUGUAUGGACAUCUUGGGAAAAAUAGGAAGGAGCAUGAUCUUGCCCAAGAGUUCAGUCCAGAGUCAGAUGAAGCAAACGUAGUCCACGACAGGAGGAGGUGAGUCAGCCAGUUUGAGUUGAAGAACUGAGAUUCUGGAGGCAGAGUAGGAAACAAGGGUACGAAAACACAGAUCCGAAUUGUUAUCAACAAAGAGUUGGCCGCUGGUGGCUCUUCUUAAAUAGGCCAGAUGCAGGCAUCGCUCAGUUGAGGGCACUGCCUCCCUUGCUUCUUGAGGAGCUCGGCAGAGGGACAAAGCAUUCUGGGAAUAGGUACCCUGGUCUGCCUGGACCAGGCCCCUGUCCCUGGACUCACCCAGUCCUAUUGAUUUUCUCCCAGAUGGCUGAUCGUUGGCCAGCUUGGAGGCUGGAGACUUGAUGGAUCAGCCAGAGACCACAGUGGGACAAGAUGGAGUUACUGUUUACCCAUCGCAGGUUUCUAACAUCCCCAGGGCUGUCUCUUGAUGGGGUGGGACUACCCCUGAAGGCAUCAGAGUCACUUUAUUGUGGCGGGUAACAAAUUUAAGAAAUAAAUGUUUUAAAUUGUACAACACGGAUUAAUAACUAUGCCAACAGAUGGUGGAGAAUAUCCAUGAAUUUUAAUUAUAUACUUUAAGAUGGACGUCUAUAUUAAUUAUACUUGUACAUUAGACACAUCAAAAAGUGAACACUUUUUAUGGAAGGCCAGGCUCCUGUCUUUCUAAAUUGUGGCCCUCCUCCUCCAAUGAAAAUUUUCAAGACUUAAUUGUAUUAAUGAGUGUGAUUGCUAUAUAGCCCGACACACAUGGGCUUUUGUCUUGUUUUGUAACAAAAACGGUGUUGAAAAUAUACCAUUGCGGAUAAAAUUGGAGCAUUAUUAUUCAGAUCUUUGAAAUCUUGGGAAGUAUUUGGUUCCAAUUACAGUCAGAAUUUAGUUGUACUUCCAGUAUUAAAGGCAGCAUUUGAACGUUACUAGGAAAGAGAUUUAAAUCUAAUCCUUUCUGUCAGGCUCUGUGGAAUGGUUCCUAGUUAAAAGUGGUUGGGAAACUUUAGUUUUCUUGGGGAAAAAAGAAAGGGCUGAAAAUGAGAUUAACGCCCUAGACCAACUUAUUGCUAAUUCUACCUUGCUUGGCACAUUACAAAAAGAAUACAGCUUGCCUGAAACUGCUGAAAAUACAUAUUCAGUUCAAACAUUGCUGAUUUCCUUAGUGGCCUGAACAACUUCUAUAAUUCUAAGUGUAUUAGCCAAAAAUAUUUUAGAGGCUAAAACCAACUAUCCCAUUUUACUGACAAUUGAAGAAUCUUACAAAGAUAAAUAUAGACAAUUUACGAGAAAUCUGGAAGAAAGAAUUGGAGUAUUCAAUUCAAACAAGUCAUCAGGUUUCAAAAAGUGUCUGUUUCUUUCAAUCAUAAGAGAGGAAUUCAGAAAAUUUUGUUGGCCCCUCCAGCAAAUGUUUAAAAAUAGUUGGUUAAUUACUUGUUUAUCUUGCACAUUCAAUCAAUUUAAAAGUAUGCUAACACACACACAAUCUGAUCAUACUCUCUGGGGAUUAUAUGUGGGUUGACUUAUAAUGCUAUUGUGAAUAUUUUAGCAAGGGACUUAAGAUUUGAAGAUACUCAACUAUAUUCCUAACAUUGAAGUUUGUCAGUUUUUGGAGAACUUUGGAUUUAUCAUGUUUGGAUUCUUUCAAAAAAGGAAAAAAGGAUUCUUGGAAAG